CAAGUGACAAGAUCCCAGCUCAACCUUCAGCAGACCCAGAGACGCCAAGUGAAAAGAUCCCAGAUAAACCUUCAGCAGACCCAGAGGUGAGACAGAAAUCCACUUCAUCCUUCCAACAGACACCAAGUGACAAGAUCCCAGCUCAACC